CGCACUUCACAGAGGAUUUAUUCCUAUUGUAAACGACAGUCUGUGGUCAAUCUUGGUUUAGUUACAAAAAAUCUUUGCUAUAGUCUAGGACCUCUACUCUAGGUUAGAAACUUCGACGUGACAUGAUGAUCACUCUGAACUCCACUUCUUCAAGGAAAUGAUCAAUGUCCGGAUGAGCGUGACAGAAGAUCCCACCGCACCAGGACCAAACAGCGUGCCCAGGAGGAGAUGGCAUCCUGGUCCUUGGAGGAGAUCGAGGAGAGAAUAUCCUGGACUUGGAGGAGGUCUUGACAAGACACAAAAGCCUGCCGUGGAAACAGAUGACAGGAAAGAAGGGAGGACAGCUGCGACGCCGGGGUUCGCGGCCACAGAGUCUGCAGCAUAUUGAGUCACAUAAGGAAUUGCAGUAGGACUACUUGUGCAACGCACUGAACUAUGCAUGCAGCCAGUGGUGACCCGUCAUUCAAGGCAGGUGUUUAGCAAAAAAAAUUAAACAUUUUGUUCCUGUUUUGCAUGUUAUUUUGACAUUAAUACGUGUCUCACAUAUCAGUUUGCAAACAAUAAAAAAC